rnacentral:lncRNA from 1 species
GUGCUGUCCAAUCCCAGAUCAUAGUGAUAUUUUGUAUUUUUAUUGUUUUACAAUUUUUCCCAAAACACUUUUAGUAACUACUGUGAAAAACGGUUAGGUAUUAUUGUUUUAGAGGUAGUAAAUUGAUUUGCCCAAGACCAUUCAUCCAUUUAUUGCCUAUUUAUUAAGUGCUGUCUGUGUGCUAAUAUAUAAAGAUGAGCGAAACAUUGACUUUGCCUGGUAGUAGAGGGAGAAAUAAUUACUAUAGCAGUUUACAUAUCAUGAGGGAUGAAUUCAUCCUUUUAACUCCAGGAAAGUUUUA